AUUGAACGCUGGCGGCAGGCCUAACACAUGCAAGUCGAGCGGAUGAGGAAAGCUUGCUUUUCGAUUCAGCGGCGGACGGGUGAGUAAUGCCUAGGAAUCUGCCUAUUAGUGGGGGACAACGUUUCGAAAGGAACGCUAAUACCGCAUACGUCCUACGGGAGAAAGUGGGGGCUCUUCGGACCUCACGCUAAUAGAUGAGCCUAGGUCGGAUUAGCUAGUUGGUGAGGUAAUGGCUCACCAAGGCAACGAUCCGUAGCUGGUCUGAGAGGAUGAUCAGCCACACUGGAACUGAGACACGGUCCAGACUCCUACGGGAGGCAGCAGUGGGGAAUAUUGGACAAUGGGCGAAAGCCUGAUCCAGCCAUGCCGCGUGUGUGAAGAAGGUCUUCGGAUUGUAAAGCACUUUAAGUUGGGAGGAAGGAUUGUUAGCUAAUAUCUAGCAGUUUUGACGUUACCAACAGAAUAAGCACCGGCUAACUCUGUGCCAGCCGCCGCAGUAAGAC
rnacentral:rRNA from 1 species